rnacentral:tRNA from 1 species
GCCUGGGUGGCUCAGUCGGUUGAGCAUCUGACUUCGGCUCAGGUCACCAUCUCGCGGUUUGUGGGUUGGAACCCCGUGUCGGGCC